UUAUCGUUUAUUUGAUAGUACUUUCUACUUGGAUACCUGUGGUAAUUCUAGAGCUAAUACAUGCUAAAAACCUCGACUUCGGAAGGGGUGUAUUUAUUAGAUAAAAAACCAAUGCCCUUCGGGGCUACUUGGCGAUUCAUAAUAACUUCACGAAUCGCAUGGCCUUGCGCCGGCGAUGGUUCAUUCAAAUUUCUGCCCUAUCAACUUUCGAUGGUAGGAUAGUGGCCUACCAUGGUGUCUACGGGUAACGGGGAAUUAGGGUUCUAUUCCGGAGAGGGAGCCUGAGAAACGGCUACCACAUCCAAGGAAGGCAGCAGGCGCGCAAAUUACCCAAUCCCGACACGGGGAGGUAGUGACAAUAAAUACUGAUACAGGGCUCUUUCGGGUCUUGUAAUUGGAAUGAGUACAAUUUAAAUCCCUUAACGAGGAACAAUUGGAGGGCAAGUCUGGUGCCAGCAGCCGCGGUAAUUCCAGCUCCAAUAGCGUAUAUUAAAGUUGUUGCAGUUAAAAAGCUCGUAGUUGAAACUUGGGCCUGGCUGGCCGGUCCGCCUCACCGCGUGCACUGGUUUGGCCGGGCCUUUCCUUCUGGGGAGCCGCAUGCCCUUAGUUGGGUGUGCCGGGGAUCCAGGACUUUUACUUUGAAAAAAUUAGAGUGUUCAAAGCAGGCCUAUGCUCGGAUACAUUAGCAUGGAAUAAUAGAAUAGGACGUGUGGUUCUAUUUUGUUGGUUUCUAGGACCGCCG
rnacentral:rRNA from 1 species